UUGACCUCAAAUCAGGUAGGACUACCCGCUGAACUUAAGCAUAUCAAUAAGCGGAGGAAAAGAAACUAACAAGGAUUCCCCUAGUAACUGCGAGUGAAGCGGGAAGAGCUCAAAUUUGAAAUCUGGCGGUCCUUGGCCGUCCGAGUUGUAGUCUAGAGAAGUGCUACCUGUGCUGGACCGUGUACAAGUCUCCUGGAAUGGAGCAUCGCAGAGGGUGAGAAUCCCGUCUUUGACACGGACUGCCUGUACGUCAUGGUGCGCUCUCGAAGAGUCGAGUUGUUUGGGAAUGCAGCUCAAAAUGGGUGGUAAAUGCCAUCUAAAGCUAAAUAUUGGCGAGAGACCGAUAGCGAACAAGUACCGUGAGGGAAAGAUGAAAAGAACUUUGGAAAGAGAGUUAAACAGUACGUGAAAUUGCUGAAAGGGAAACGCUUGAAGUCAGUCGCGUCGGCCAGAAAUCAGCCUUUGCUUUUGCUUGGUGUACUUUCUUGGUUGAUGGGUCAGCAUCAAUUUCGACCGUCGGAUAAAGUCGUCGGGAAUGUGGCAUCUUCGGAUGUGUUAUAGCCCGGCGUCGCAUACGGUGGUUGGGAUUGAGGAACUCAGCACGCCGAAAGGCCGGGUCUCUCGAGACCACGUCCGUGCUUAGGAUGCUGGCAUAAUGGCUUUAAUCGACCCGUC
rnacentral:rRNA from 1 species